UAGGGAAUCUUCCACAAUGGGCGAAAGCCUGAUGGAGCAACGCCGCGUGAGUGAAGAAGGAUUUCGGUUCGUAAAACUCUGUUGUAAGGGAAGAACAAGUACAGUAGUAACUGGCUGUACCUUGACGGUACCUUAUUAGAAAGCCACGGCUAACUACGUGCCAGCAGCCGCGGUAAUACGUAGGUGGCAAGCGUUGUCCGGAAUUAUUGGGCGUAAAGCGCGCGCAGGCGGUCCUUUAAGUCUGAUGUGAAAGCCCGCGGCUCAACCGUGGAGGGUCAUUGGAAACUGGGGGACUUGAGUGCAGAAGAGGAAAGUGGAAUUCCAAGUGUAGCGGUGAAAUGCGUAGAGAUUUGGAGGAACACCAGUGGCGAAGGCGACUUUCUGGUCUGUAACUGACGCUGAGGCGCGAAAGCGUGGGGAGCAAAC
rnacentral:rRNA from 1 species